AGAAAAACUCUGACGACCUCCACUUCUCCCACGACCUGCCAGUCUCAUCUCCCAUCUCCUCAUCUCUCCCUCUUUCCUGCGACCAACCCUGCACCCUCCCUCCGAUCAAACUCCUAUGUCGUCCCCGCUAUCGUCGGUUCUCCCUCUCUCCCUGAUUGUUCCCAAUCGAUCUUUGAGCCACCACGAUUCCCAAAUCCAUCUCCUUGCUCCCCACCCUACCCAUGGCGCCGUCGAUGCCGACGGGUUACUACAAGUGCGGUCCAACCUAAUCCCCAACCCUGUCGUACGCACCUGCCACUUCGGCCCUACCACCAGAGACGAACACCCAAGUUCGUUGCGACGCCGGAGGGUGAGGAGGCGCAACACGAAGGCGGGAAGGAGAGGGAGACGCGGCCCAAUCUCAAGCCGAACCUGCUCCUCUCUGACAGCGGCUUGGGCUUCGUCCUCUGAUAAUUCUCCAAGACGGCCAUGCCCCACCCAGCCACGAGAUGAGAGUGAGAUAGAUGUUGAUACUGCAGCUCAAACAGCUCAAGUUUCAAUCAAUCCUGGUCUGCUGAUAUGGAGAGCGCAAGACCUGGUCUUUGGUUCCUGGAACAAGUGAUUUUAUUGCCUUAUAAUUAUUUCCAUCUCAUUUCCCAAUACGGAUGAUCAGAUUUUACAGGUUAUUAGGGGGUAUCCCAAUGGAUAGGACGCCCGCGGGUGGCUGUCGGCUUGAGCUGGUGCGGUACCAUCACGAAUAUCGGGAUGGGUGGACGGGGAGGAAGGGUGGAAGCUAGGGCGACAUUGGGAAAAAACACGGGCCAUCGGCAGACAAGCAAUAAAUGGUUCUUGAGCAGCACACAAGCAAGAAAUGGUGCUUGAGGUUGUAGGGCCGAGCAGGUAUACACGAGCGGUACGCAUCUCAUUUUCUUCGUCAGGUUCUAAAUGAUCCCUCGAGUUUGCAUCCAUUUGUAUUUACGUUACGAAAUCAUAUAUUCAUGGUUUAUCUCCCUUUUAAGGGUCUAGCUAAACUAAAGUGAAUACCAUUAUGUAACCAAUUUUGUAAAUUGAGUUUGAGCUUGAACAAAGAAAAGUUUACCAAAUAACACAUAAUGGGACUUAUAUUUCGGGAGAUAUUGGAGUACCACCCUCAGCUUCUCAAGGAUUACAUGAACGGCUUUGAAAAAAAUGAGCUUUCUAUAUGCCAGGUUUCUGUGACAUGCUUGUAAACUUUUUUCUCUUUUAUUUUGUUUAUGUAGCAACAUUCACAACUUCUGCCAUUGGUUCUUGAUUUUUUUGCUAUGAAGUGAUGUUGACAAUUUCUAGAGGCAAUUCGCUGACUUAGAAGAUGAUAUUGCAAAGAGCAAGGCAGUCAACAUGAAGCAUGUUUAUCUCGCAAGGUCUGCUACUUGCAGGACUACAAGAUCUGAAAAAUUAAAUACAAGCAGGACUCAACAGUUCACUCUACUAUGAUUCCUCCAACAAAUUAUCUUCCUUAUUCCUCCCAAGUUCCUCAAAGGAUUCCGACAGGUGUUUAUUAGCAUUCUGUCACAUACUGACCUGGUAUUAUUUUUCCCAUUUAACUUCAAACAGCAUCAGUCGAACUAUUUCGCCUUUGUCACUCUCGCAGCAAGACCAGAUAGAGUGGCUUUCUCAGCGACAUCAAUGCAAAAUGCAAGUAUCACCGAUGGACGCAUUGGAUGAAUAGGGCUAAGGGAAUUGAAGUUAUACUGCUCUUGCAUGCAACAACACCUGCAGGGGACACGUAAACACUCCAGGCACGCAAGGUCACAUCGGAGGAUGGCAUGCUAUCCUCCGACUAUUACGAUUCCACCAUUCAGCAGCAUGGCCAG